AUCGGAACGUGCCCUGUAGUGGGGGAUAACUAGUCGAAAGAUUAGCUAAUACCGCAUACGACCUGAGGGUGAAAGUGGGGGACCGCAAGGCCUCACGCUAUAGGAGCGGCCGAUAUCUGAUUAGCUAGUUGGUGGGGUAAAGGCCUACCAAGGCGACGAUCAGUAGCUGGUCUGAGAGGACGAUCAGCCACACUGGGACUGAGACACGGCCCAGACUCCUACGGGAGGCAGCAGUGGGGAAUUUUGGACAAUGGGGGCAACCCUGAUCCAGCAAUGCCGCGUGUGUGAAGAAGGCCUUCGGGUUGUAAAGCACUUUUGUCCGGAAAGAAAUCCUUUGGGUUAAUACCUCGGAGGGAUGACGGUACCGGAAGAAUAAGGACCGGCUAACUACGUGCCAGCAGCCGCGGUAAUACGUAGGGUCCGAGCGUUAAUCGGAAUUACUGGGCGUAAAGCGUGCGCAGGCGGUUGUGUAAGACAGAUGUGAAAUCCCCGGGCUCAACCUGGGAAUUGCAUUUGUGACUGCACAGCUAGAGUGUGUCAGAGGGGGGUAGAAUUCCACG
rnacentral:rRNA from 1 species